rnacentral:rRNA from 1 species
CCCUUAGACGUUCUGGGCCGCACGCGCGCUACACUGACCAGUUCAACAAGUCUUAACCUUGGCCGAUAGGUCUGGGUAAUCUUUGAACGCUGUUCGUGAUUGGGAUAGACCUUUGCAAUUAUGGGUCUUCAACGAGGAAUUCCUAGUAAACGCAAGUCAUCAGCUUGCAUUGAUUACGUCCCUGCCCUUUGUACACACCGCCCGUCGCACCUACCGAUUGAAUGGUCCGGUGAAAUCUCGGGACGGCGGCUUGGUCGCUUGCGUCCGACUGCUGAAACUUGAUUAAACCAUAUCAUUUAGAGGAAGGUGAAGUCGUANCA